rnacentral:tRNA from 1 species
GGGGAGAUACCAAAGUGGACAAAUGGGGUAGACUGUAAAUCUAUUGGCUGACGCCUUCGGAGGUUCGAAUCCUCCUCUCCCCA